rfam:Stegodyphus mimosarum contig48647, whole genome shotgun sequence.
GCCUUCGUGGUGUAGUGGUCGGCACGCUGGGUGCGUAUUCCAGAGGUCUGUGGUUCGAAUCCCGGUGAUGGCG